rnacentral:rRNA from 1 species
UACGGAGGGUGCAAGCGUUAUCCGGAUUCACUGGGUUUAAAGGGUGCGUAGGAGGGCAGGUAAGUCAGUGGUGAAAUCUCCGAGCUUAACUUGGAAACUGCCGUUGAUACUAUCUGCCUUGAAUAUUGUGGAGGUGAGCGGAAUAUGUCAUGUAGUGGUGAAAUGCUUAGAUAUGACAUAGAACACCAAUUGCGAAGGCAGCUCGCUACACAUAUAUUGACUCUGAGGCACGAAAGCGUGGGGAUCAAACAGG